UAGCUUAUCAGACUGGUGUUUGU
rnacentral:miRNA from 1 species